rnacentral:rRNA from 1 species
UACGAAGGGGGCUAGCGUUGUUCGGAAUCAUUGGGCGUAAAGCGCUCGUAGGUGGCUUAGUAAGUCAGGUGUGAAAGCCCCGGGCUCAACCCGGGAAGUGCACUUGAAACUGCAUAGCUUGAGUACGGUAGAGGUGAGUGGAAUUCCUGGUGUAGUGGUGAAAUACGUAGAUAUCAGGAGGAACAUCGGUGGCGAAGGCGGCUCACUGGACCAGUACUGACACUGAGGAGCGAAAGCAUGGGGAUCAAACAGGG